GGCAAGACGGAUUACCAGGACGUGUACUCCAAGCAUGCGCUGACCAACGGGUACAUGGUGGAACUCUGAGGGAGAGGAGAGAUCUGGGAUGGGAUGGGCCCUCACCAAAGGUACCUGUCUACUCCUUCUGAUUCCUCUUGGCUCCUGGGGACGUCUCAGCCUCCAGCAUGCCUCUCCCAGGAAGCCAUAACUCUCUUUUUGAGGAAGUGAGCUGUGCAUGGAGUGCUCUCUGCAUCUGUCUGGGAGAGAAAAGGGGGAACAAGAGGUCAGACAGGCCUGGGACCACUUCUAACAUGCAUUAUGGAUGACGGCUAGCAUGUGCUUGAAUAUUUACAUUUGUCUAAAGGUGAUGCAAAUACUAAGUUGACUGAGAGAGUGCUAUGUUAGUCUGACAACUAAGGUUCCCUCACAAACAGUUAGGUCUUGUGCCAAUCUUGAACAUAAAAAAAACAUGAUUGGCACACCAACUUAGUUUGCAUGGAGCCAUUGAUUUAAUCAAGAACCAAAAUGAUGUAAUUGUAAGUGUAUUCAUACUAUGAUUUACAAACACCAGGAUGCUUUAUCCUUCACUGUACUAUUAAAGCGUUCUGAUUUUUAA